UAGUGGGGUAGAGGCUAAGAACUUCGUCCUGUAUGUGGGCACCUGGGGCGAAGGAAGCCAAUGGUGCGACCGCCUACCGUUUAA
ncrna:unclassified sequences Cyclic di-GMP-II riboswitch